rnacentral:rRNA from 1 species
UACGUAGGGGGCAAGCGUUGUCCGGAUUUAUUGGGCGUAAAGAGCGUGUAGGCGGCCGUACAGGUCAGCUGUGAAAACUCGAGGCUCAACCUCGAGACGUCGGUUGAAACCGUACGGCUAGAGUCCGGAAGAGGAGAGUGGAAUUCCCAGUGUAGAGGUGAAAUUCGUAGAUAUUGGGAAGAACACCGAUGGCGAAGGCAGCCAUCUGGACCGACACUGACGCUGAGGCGCGAAAGCGUGGGGAGCAAACAGG